rnacentral:lncRNA from 1 species
CUGAGAUUAUGUCAAAUUUCAGUGAUCGGAAAUGUCUUGCCCAAAAGCAAUUCCCGCUGGAAAAAGUCAAAAGGGUUCCUGGCAUUAAAAAGACCUUGCGUCAUUCCUGAUGAAAUUAGCAGCGUCGCAUGUUUAGGGACUGCUAUGGAUGCACUUUGGUCAAAGUGAAGAGGCAGGGAUUUGGGGUUUAAGCCCCCGUCUGGUCAGUAGCCGUCUGCUUUCACUGGCUGCGAACCCCGGGACCAGCACUUGAAAGCAUCUCAGACCCGCAGUCCAUUUUUUACUUGUCUUUAAGUGCAUGCGAUGGGAAUUGCUAACCUCGGCUAAGGAAAUUUCAUUUCCCCUAUCCUGCUAAACGGUUCUGGUCGACAUAUGUUUGUUAUCAGAGAGAAGUGCUAUGAACACAGAGCCAUUUUCUUAGCAGCUCUUUGACUCUGCGUUACCAUAGUCCCACACGGCAUUGGUCCUUUCCCGUUGGGAAGUCAUGAAUAAGAGACUAUGAGGCUUGCACGUCAGAUCUUCCUCAAUUAAUCCACCAUUAGCAUGUUUGGGAUCCUCUACUGGAUGGUUAACAGCAGCUUUGGUAACUGUAUGCUGUCCAUACCCAAUUAUGCUCUGCUAAAAAUGAACUCUGCAGAACAACCUUCCUGAGCUGUCAGUGUCUCCCGUUUUCCUAUUUUAACGCUUGUGUGUAGUGGCAGGCGACAGAUGGUGUAGAUCAGAUCGAUUUGAUUGCAUUAGACGAUUUUUUUUCCCUCCUCUCCCCCCCGACUCCUUUUCUGGAAGCCCACAUUCAGCUGAGAGGCGACCGCCGGGGACACGGGAAGCGAGAGCAGCCGCCGAGGUGCGAAUGCAGCGAGCCGCGGCCGUGGAGGCGCCGGGUCCUGCCCGGGUGGAUCCGUGCUAAUCCGGCGCCGGGAGGGAGCAGCUUCUGCCUCCCGGAGCCCGUCCCCAGCGCACGUCAGAUGACUCCCCGGUUUUACACACGGUUGGAGUUCUGCUCGAAACCUGGAUUUAAAGGGAAUCUGUUGCCGUGUGUGACAUCUCUUGCGAGCUCCCAGAGAGAACUGAUGGAGCAUACAGCUAGGGAAUAGGAUGCUGGAGAAGCUCAGGGGGAGACGCCAGGCAAUCACCAGGACGGGGAGGAACGGCGCUCGUUGGAUAUGGGACGAGAUCUCGCAGCCCUUGUGGAUUCUCCUUCCUCUAGAGGGGAAUUAUAGUUAUGGAUUUAUUGUCCCGGUGCAGCACUUCCACCAGCGGCAGCAGCAACAGCAGCAGCUUUCUGACUCUCUUCGGUGACGGGUAUUCUUGGGUGGAUAAUACGGAUUACGUUGUUAUUGCUUAAGAAUACGCGUAGUCGAGGAGAGUACCGGCGGCGGGCAGGCAGGCAGGCAGCGCGACCGCCCCCAGCCCUCCAGCUGGCUCCUACAGCCUCUAGUUGCCAAGGCUCCUGAAAGAGGGUCAGGGGUGACCUCUGAGCCCCUCUAAAACCAAAGCCUCAUGUCCAUGCUCGCUAACAUUACCAGUUCUGCAAGGGACUUGCAUCGUGCUGAAGUGUGGACACAUGAGAGGAGAACAACACAUCUAGUACGGCACAGCUUGGAGGAGUGGUAUUGUGUGCUCCAGAGAUGUGAGAGGAAUUGCAGGAUGAAAGCAGUGGGAAAGCUAAAAAUGAGAUUUGUGUGUACAAAACGAGAUGUUGGAGCCCCAUAUGCUUGGAGGUGAGCCCCAGACCUGCCCGUGGUCAGCACUCUCUGACUUCGGCCCCACCAUGUAGAUGGAGCAACGUCCUGUGUGCCCGGCUGCUGCAUGGAGCUGCCCAUGUGCUGGCACCCUGACCCAGCAGAGAUGCUGCCAGUGCCGGCUCCACCCUGCUCGCUGCUGCCUGCCCACCUGUCUCCUUCCCCCAAGCCAUGGCCCACACCACCACCACCACCGGCAUCUCCGUCGCUACCCACAGCACAAAUGCAACAUGGAACAGCGAGUGUGGCUUGAGCAGGCUGAGCUUGUUAAAAUUGCAGUUAAAUAAAUUGUAGGGCUGUAAUACUGGGAGGCUGAUUGGGAUCACAAGAUAUCGGUGUCAUAUCCUGUGGCUUUUAUGUAGUGAGAUGUAGAUUUUUGCCAUCACCAUCUGGCUAUCCAACAGAUAACAACCAGAGAAAAUGGACUUGCAAAUCUCCAGUUGUGAAUAACUGAUAUAUUGUUGCCAGUAAAACGAGGACCUGGUAAACUGCCAGAAGGAAAAGUUUUUUUGAGUAUGAUCAGACUUUUAAUAUGUGUCAGCUUUUGCCUAUGUGUAAAUUAAAGAAACUCCCUAAUUACCAUACAUUUUAAACAGUGUGUCUAGAGAACUCUGGUCCUGUAGAACCCAGAUGUGGCUAUGUUAUCAGCUUCAAAUUCAGGCAAGUAAAUAAAGUAGCAAAUGUACGACUCAACUGGUGUAUCUGCACAGUACAGAUCAUCUAGGUGUGGGUUAAAUGCUAUGAGGAAAGAACAAGAAAUAAGCAAAAAAUACAGUAGUGUAGAAUAUGCAUGUUCUUAACUUCUAGAAAAUCUCAACAGCUGGAAUUUUAGAAUGUGAUAUUUAGACAAAUGUAAAGAGAGAAACAGUGUGUUUUUCUCUGGAGAAAAAUGUAAUAGGUGUACAGAUCAAAUUAUAACACUUAGUCCUUCUAGGACAAAUUCCAGUUGGGGAUCGUGAAGUAAUCUGAAAAUAUUAAUGAUUUAGCCUCACAGCUAGAUUUCAGGUAGAUAAUAAUAAUUAUUGCUACAAAUAAUUUCCUUCAUUCUUGCUCUGAAAUGAAAAUUGAGGCAUAGAGGUUUUAUGUAUUUGUCCAAAGUCCAUUUUACUGCUGUAACCAUCCUUCUAUAGAUUUACUUCGUAUUAAGUAUGCCCUUUUCCAAAUAUUGUAUGUGAUAUACUAUUCAGUUCAUGAAUUCUAAAAAACAAGCAGCUGAUCUUCCUUAUGAAGCAGUGCCUGUGAACAUCUCCAUUUGCAUUUGAAUCCUCAAGCAGUGACAAUCCUGCUUAAAAAAAAAAAAGAAAAAGAAAAAGGGAAUGAUGAAAAUCAGAACAAAAUCUGUCAAGGGCCCAUCUGUGACUGCAUAUCAGAAUAUCACUAAGAUGCUCUGAGGAACAAAGUUGUCUCCAAGUCUAACACAUAGUGCUUUUGUCUACGGAAAUAAUUCAAGAUGGGUGAAAUGAGGGCAAAUAACAUGAAAAACUGUUUCCCUACUGAACAGUCCUGGAAAGCAGCACCUUUGUUUCAUGGAUAAUCUUGUUUGUGAUACACGUACCAGUGCUUAGAUACUAAAGGUUUUACAUGACGAAAUACUCAGCAUGCCCAUAUCUGCUUCAGAUAAGCAUGCAUAGCUGUUGCUUCCAGUCAAGAGUCAGGGAGCCAGGGGUCUUUGGCCCUGGCAGGUGAGAACUUGGGUUAGGUAUGUCUGUGGCAAGCUUUCAUAGCCUGCUACCUGAAGCACUGGGGAAACAAAAGGAUAGACUCCACCCUGGACUUAACAAUACUCUUGAAACCACAUCUAUUUCCUUCUAAAUAGGAACACAUAAAGUUAGGAAAACCUAUUUGUAAGCUAUUUAUAUGUCCUCUUCAGGAUCUGAAUUCCUGCAAGCCUUAGUCAUAGCUCUUUGCUCUCACAUAUGCAAUAUCUGGAACUGACAACUGGAAAUAGGAGAAACAUGGCAUUAAUGUUGUUCUAAUGCACUGUGGGUUUUUUUUCCUUCUAUUUCUUAACUGUUACAGUAUGCAAAUAUUUAGUUAACUGGUCCUCAUGGUUUCUUUUUAUUGAAUUGCUUUCACUAUGGCAAAUAAAUAUUCAUAAAGAAAUGUGGACAAUAAAUCAUUUCCAAUAGUUCAAACCAUUUUCUUUCUAGACUGCAUAUAUAUUCAGCUGUGACUUGCCUUUAAUAUUUAAUUCAAAAGACAGACUUGUAGAAGGACAAUAGAGAUAAUGUGUCAAGCAAUAAUUAAAACAGGGGGUAUGAUUAAAACCAUUUUGAUCUACACUGUGCUCUGUCAAACUCAUAAUCUGCCAUGUUUGCUUAGAUGAUUCUCCACUUGCUUUGUAUGGAACCCAAAAUAAACUUUUGUUUGAAGAUACUGCACAGAACAAAAGAUUUCAACCCUAAGCUUUUGGGACCUGGAGACCUUCCCUGCUCUGGGCUUUGGGUAUGUCUUCUCUAUCAUCCUCACAAGACAAAUCUCAGGCAGCCAUCAUCCCUCAAUUUAACAUGGUGACUUCCCUCGGAAGUAGGUCCAUAUACGUGGCACAAUACAACUAGGGGACAAUCCAAUGUAACCUGGUUCACCAUUUAGACUGAAGCUAAGAGCUCCAAAAGAAGUGCAAGUUAAAGAUACAGGGAGUUUAUACACUUGGGGACCCUGGUUCAAAUUCAAAUUCAAAUAAGAGUGAUAUUUCUUGUUUCACUGUGUGUUUUGGCCACCAAAAUACACCUUGUAUUUGUCCCAGCUUCAUUAUCUUUUCUGAUUUGUUGCUGAUUUUGGGCCAUAACUCAAUAGAGCACUUAUGUACAGACUUAAAGAAAUUGAUUUAAGAAAACACUACUCUGUUUAAUCCUGGGCAGACAUUCAACUUUGAAAUCAAUGGGACUUAUGAACAGCCCUGACCUUGGGGUCUAAAUGGUUGCUGAAUCAGUGCAUUGACAGAAACAUACUGGAAAAGAUAAUAUCCAUGUCUAAUCAGAAUGAUCGUCUCUACUUUCAUGGGAAAUUACCCAUAGAUAACACAUUAUUCUGCUCAAGAAAUCCAUUUUAUAGCAGUUAUUAGAAAACCUUAACACAUUUUCUGUUUGUCAGACAUACUAGGUGAACAGUGUCUCUCCUUGAUAGUGUAUCUGAACUAUACUUCAAAUGAAAAAAUAAAUUACAGGAAAAGUGCUGUCACAAGGGACCAUUUCUAAUUAUUUACUGAGUCUUUCCCAGUUGCCUGCUAUGUGCCAGACUUUUGGGAAACAUGUGGACAGAAGACAAAGCAGUGCGGUUCUGAAAUCCCACGGACUCAGUCAAAGACAAUAGCACAUGAAAUACCAUGUUAUGCAAUAUCACGUAAACAAAGCUAUCUCCUAAGAACUGCACUCACAAGGGAUGCCUGCCCAGUCUACAUAUAGAAUUCUAAGUGAACACAUUCUUAUUACACUGAGAAAAUGGUAAGAAUAAAAGGUGUUUGUUUCUGGUAUAAUAACGUACAGAUUGCACUACUUAAGUGCAACUGUGGCUGAAUCCACAUAGUUAAAAGAAGUAAGUAAAGUAGUUGAUGUUAUACUGCAUGAAAUAAAAAUCUUCUUGCCAUUCCUAAAAAUGUUUUACACAAGUCAUUUUUAUUAUAAUUAGAAGUUGGCAAACAGGAUAUCUUAGAUGCUGCUUAUAGAGCUGAAACGGGUUUAAGAGGGGAAAUAAAUUAUAAUGGGUUCUAUUACCUCAUCUAAUUCAGUAAAUGAUGAGCAUGAAGACCCUGAGAAGACAUGGAAAGCAUUAGUGAGUUUUACCUCUCUCUGCAACCCUGGACAGACACCAUGAUUCACAUGAUUCCACUGUUUCUAGGACAAAGCUUAGGAGUAAUACAUAAAAAAAACAGCUGUACUAUUUUAACUGGAUUCAUACUAGUGGAGACUCACAUGGCUACCCGUACCUAUCCUGAUGCUGCCUACUCUAGAGCUGAUGAGUCAGGAGUAUGCAGCUGCUGUAUUGCAUGCUCAUUGCUAACAAGCUCUCUAUACUGCCUGUAAGCCUCUGAGUCAACAUUCCAUUAAUCAAAGGGUAGAAUGUAAUGGGAAAGAACAGGAGGGUGGGAUUUGUCUUCCUAUAUAAUUCUUAAGUUACCAAAAAAAAAAAAAAAAAAAAAAAAAAUUAAAAAAAAAAUCAAAGCUUCUGCCCCUUUUUUCUCAUGUCAUCUACUUUACCCUCAGAGUAGGUGAGGUUAGAGCAAAUCUGCAUUCUAAACCAGGUGCUGCUUCUGAUUGUCUUCCCACAUAUAGUCAUGAAUUGGAGCUAACACCUGUUCUCAAUGAAAUCAGUAAGUACCUAGCAGGACCAACAAGCUUAUAGAGCUCAAGGUGAGGAACAGCUCUUUGUUUGCUUGAGGGCUUUUUCCACCAUGAAGGCUAUCUAGAAGGAGUAAUACAGGUAUAACAUGAUGUUAGGCCCUUCUUCAUUAGUUCUUCGGUUUCUGCUGGAAUCUCGCUGACUUGGAGCAAGCAUUGAUUUAGAGGUAAGUUUUACAACUGAGUUAGGAUCUGGGGUUUCAGAUUUUCAACUUUU